UAAAAUGAAUAGUAGAAGCUAGCAUCUAAUUAAAGUUAAAGAAAGAAAGGUAAUCGCACCACGACGGCGGCGACGUGGCGGUCAAUUAACGGAAAACAACAGACAAAUCAGCCUCUAAAUUAAGUCUUGAAGCACAACUUUGAAAAAUCGUGACUACAUAUAGCUGAGCUGCAAUGGAGGCAAUCAGGAAGCUCAGAGAUCAGGUCGCCAAGCAACAGCAGGCUGUAUUCAAACAAUUUUCUGGUGGCAUAUUUGGGGGAUCAGAUAACGUUGCCGCGGAUGAAAAUGAACAGCAUCAGAAAAUCGAGAAGUUAUACAUAUCAACUCGUGCUGCCAAGCAUUACCAAAAGGAAAUUGUCCGUGGUGUGGAAGGUUAUGUUGUUGCCGGUUCAAAGCAAGUUGAAAUAGGUACCAAAUUAUCAGAAGAUAGCAGGAAAUAUGGUGCUGAAAAAACUUGCACCAGUGGUAACACAUUGUCGAGAGCUGCACUGAGUUUUGGAAGAGCCCGUGCCCAAAUGGAAAAGGAGCGUGGACUUCUACUGAAAGCUCUUGGCACACAGGUUGCAAAGCCUUUGAGAGCAAUGGUAAUGGGAGCGCCCUUGGGGGAUGCUCGACAUCUUGCUCAACGAUAUGCUAGAAUGCGGCAAGAUGCUGAAGCUCAGGCUAUAGAUGUUUCCAGACGCCAAGCCAAAGUACGGGAAUCUGCAGGUAAUGCUGAUAUUAUCGUGAAACUAGAAGCUGCUGAGGCCAAGCUUCAGGAGCUACAGUCUAACGUUGCAAUAUUGGGAAAAGAAGCUGGUGCAGCAAUGGCUGCUGUUGAAGGUCAACAACAAAGAUUGACUCUUCAGCGGCUUCUUGUGAUGGUAAAGCACUUCCUUUCCCUUCCUGUUGAAGCAUUGAGGCUUUGGCCUGUUCUAGUUACAAAAAAAAGGUCGUACCCAGUGCACAAGGCUCCCGCUUUACGCAGGGUCUGGGAGAGGUUGAAGCAGAGCGCAAUUAUCAUCAGAACGUUCUUCAGAUACUUGAUCACCUUGAAGGCGAGAUGUUGUCAGAAAACCAGCGAAUUGAAGCAUCACCUAGUCCAGCUACAGAGAACUCUAUGCCUCCGCCACCAUCGUAUGAGGAUCUCGGACAUAGCUUUGCUUCUGAAGCCUAUGAUGAAUUGACAGACACGAGGGACUAUUUCUUAGGAGAGGUUAUGUACACGUUUCAAGCUGUAACUGAUGUGGAGUUAAGCUUGUCUUUUGGGGAUUAUGUCGUUGUCCGGAAGGUAUCAAACAAUGGUUGGGCUGAAGGUGAAUGCAAGGGAAAAACCGGUUGGUUCCCUUUUAAUUACAUCGAAAUGCGGGACCGUGCGCUUGCUAGCAAGGUGGCUGUAGUCUUUUAAAUCUUUUGGUUUCCUGUUUAGUUGGCUUGUGUUUGUGUUUCUGCUCUGAGAUUCUACCUCGUAGCGCAUGGAUGUUAAAAUUGAGAAAUUAGGUUCUCGAGUCCCUCAUUUUUUUAUUUAGGGGAGGGCGUCAGGUAGUCGACAGCCGGCACUCCUCAGCUACGUCGAAUCCUUAUGAAAAUGAUUGAUUAAAAUAGUAUGUUUGAGACUUUUUUUCGAGA